ensembl:lncRNA
GUGGAGGUGUCUAAUCUGUAAGGCAUUUUGAUAUGAGGUGCUGCAGCAAACCCGAAGCGACAAAGAUUUGAACUACAAAAGCAAAUCCCCGCUGAGCCUUCAUGCAAAGCCAAACCUGAUGUGGAGAAGAUGAGGAUAAAUGUCUUUAGUGAGGCAGUUCGGACAGGAUUGUCUUUUCCAUUUGCCCCCCUCAUAGCAGCGGUGACAGAUUCUGCUCUUGGUGUGGGAUCUGCCAUCACACAUCAUCAGAUACGCGGUAUGGAUAGAUCGUCCAUGACGAAAGGCGGCAGGAAGGUAAACACCUGCUAGUCACUCCAACAUAACUGUGAGGCAUUUCUCUGGGGUCAACACUCUGUCUAGGUCAGAGUGACCAAAUAAUGACCUCUCACUGCCGUGACAUCUUGCACAUCUCUCUGGUGUUUUCUACCUCUAGACCAACAGCAGAUUUGUGAGAGGCUUCUGGACUUGCUGACUGUCAGAGAUCUCAAAGUACUCAAGGUUUUUUUUUUUUUUUUCUCAGGAACUGCUGAGAGAACAAAAUAAGAAGCGGAAGUUUGACAGCAGGGACUGACCCAUAACAGUUCAGAUGGAUAAAUUGUCCUUUGGCUUGUAUAGAAAAAAAAUAAGAACUCAAGUUUGAUAGUACUUCCUUUUUCAGUGCUGCAAUCAGCUCCUGAUGGAUGAAAGCAAGUCCCUACAUAUUUUUCUCUUUCCAUGUUAUUUUUAAUACAUUUAUGGAAUAUAUAUUAUUUUAUGCCCCACAGAAGAAAAAAUAAAGUCAUACUACUUACUCA